CAGUAGCCACGGUAAUACGUAGGUGGCAAGCGUUGUCCGGAAUUAUUGGGCAUAAAGGGCUCGCAGGCGGUUUCUUAAGUCUGAUGUGAAAGCCCCCGGCUCAACCGGGGAGGGUCAUUGGAAACUGGGAAACUUGAGUGCAGAAGAGGAGAGUGGAAUUCCACGUGUAGCGGUGAAAUGCGUAGAGAUGUGGAGGAACACCAGUGGCGAAGGCGACUCUCUGGUCUGUAACUGACGCUGAGGAGCGAAAGCGUGGGGAGCGAACAGGAUUAGAUACCCCAGUAGUCCCUGUCUCUUUACA
rnacentral:rRNA from 1 species